rnacentral:rRNA from 1 species
UACUGGAUAGUGCUAUAUGACUUUCAAUGUAUUAGGUUUAUCCAACUCGUUGAAUAGUUUAAUGGUAUAUUUCUCGGUAUUCUAGGCUCGGCCUUACAAUAUAACAAACAAGUUUGACCUCAAAUCAGGUAGGACUACCCGCUGAACUUAAGCAUAUCAAUAAGCGGAGGAAAAGAAACCAACAGGGAUUGCCUUAGUAACGGCGAGUGAAGCGGCAAAAGCUCAAAUUUGAAAUCUGGCGCCUUCGGUGUCCGAGUUGUAAUUUGAAGAAGGUAACUUUGGAGUUGGCUCUUGUCUAUGUUCCUUGGAACAGGACGUCACAGAGGGUGAGAAUCCCGUGCGAUGAGAUGCCCAAUUCUAUGUAAAGUGCUUUCGAAGAGUCGAGUUGUUUGGGAAUGCAGCUCUAAGUGGGUGGUAAAUUCCAUCUAAAGCUAAAUAUUGGCGAGAGACCGAUAGCGAACAAGUACAGUGAUGGAAAGAUGAAAAGAACUUUGAAAAGAGAGUGAAAAAGUACGUGAAAUUGUUGAAAGGGAAGGGCUUGAGAUCAGACUUGGUAUUUUGCGAUCCUUUCCUUCUUGGUUGGGUUCUCCGCAGCUUACUGGGCCAGCAUCGGUUUGGAUGGUAGGAUAAUGAUUAAGGAAUGUGGCUCUACUUCGGUGGAGUGUUAUAGCCUUGGUUGAUACUGCCUGUCUAGACCGAGGACUGCGUCUUUGACUAGGAUGCUGGCAUAAUGAUCUUAAGCCACC